rnacentral:rRNA from 1 species
UGGGGGAUAUUGCACAAUGGGGGAAACCCUGAUGCAGCGACGCCGCGUGGGUGAAGGAGCACUUCGGUGCGUAAAAGCCCUAUCGGCAGGGAAGAAAAGGGGGGAAACCCCAGACGGUACCUGACUAAGAAGCCCCGGCUAACCUACG